AUUGAACGCUGGCGGCAGGCCUAACACAUGCAAGUCGAGCGGAUGAAGGGAGCUUGCUCCUGGAUUCAGCGGCGGACGGGUGAGUAAUGCCUAGGAAUCUGCCUGGUAGUGGGGGAUAACGUCCGGAAACGGGCGCUAAUACCGCAUACGUCCUGAGGGAGAAAGUGGGGGAUCUUCGGACCUCACGCUAUCAGAUGAGCCUAGGUCGGAUUAGCUAGUUGGUGGGGUAAAGGCCUACCAAGGCGACGAUCCGUAACUGGUCUGAGAGGAUGAUCAGUCACACUGGAACUGAGACACUGUCCAGACUCCUACGGGAGGCAGCAGUGGGGAAUAUUGGACAAUGGGCUAAAGCCUGAUCCAGCCAUGCCGCGUGUGUGAAGAAGGUCUUCGGAUUGUAAAGCACUUUAAGUUGGGAGGAAGGGCAGUAAGUUAAUACCUUGCUGUUUUGACGUUACCAACAGAAUAAGCACCGGCUAACUUCGUG
rnacentral:rRNA from 1 species